UACAGAGGGUGCGAGCGUUAAUCGGAAUUACUGGGCGUAAAGGGCGCGUAGGUGGUUAUUUAAGUAAGAGGUGAAAGCCCCGGGCUCAACCUGGGAAUGGCAGUGGAAACUAGGGGACUUGAAUCUGGCAGAGGGGGGUGGAAUUCCACGUGUAGCAGUGAAAUGCGUAGAGAUGUGGAGGAACACCGAUGGCGAAGGCAGCCCCCUGGGCUGAGAUUGACGCUCAGGCACGAAAGCGUGGGGAGCAAACAGG
rnacentral:rRNA from 1 species